AAUUUGUUCUUAAUUAAACGUGAUCAGAAAUUCAGUAAGGCAAAGGGUUCAUAUGAAGCCCACACACGGCAUACAGCAUGGUAUUAAGAAUAAGAACACACACAUUUUCAUAUCGCAUUUUCGUUGUUUGAAUUUCUCAUACAGCUGUGAAGCGGAUGCAGUAUGACGUGAUACUUUGCUUCCGGCUGUGAAAGUGAAUCACGUUAUUCUUUAACCCUUUGUUGACUGACGGUACUUUAAAGUUCCAUGUUGUAUUUUGUGGCUUUGAAACUAUAUAGUACAUCCUAUCCUUGCAAUUUCCUAAUGGUACUCUCAAGUACGACAUACUUGGAGAAAAGAUAUUUCAUAUUUGCAGUUGGUAAUGUUCCACAGCCUGUUGUAUCCUAUUCCAUGGAGUGUUUUCAUACAAUUGUCUAGGAAGAUAUACUGCAUUUACAAAACCUAUUUCUUCGUUCCUGGUAAACUGUUUGAUAUGCAAGCUAUCUGAAUAGACGUUUUCAUUAUGUCUGACCAAAACAAAGAACAAUUGCCUCCCAUAUUUAGGUCUACAAACAUGUUGACUGAUGAUGAUAUUUUUAGAUAUUAUUAGAAGACUUACCAGAAGAUGACAAGGAAAAUACUGAUAUAGAAGAGGAAGAAGAAGAUGCAGCUAAUAGUUCAGCAUUUGACAGAAUUUUUGAUCAAAUAGAUGCAGCAGCGUGUGAAGCAGCAGAGGAAGAUGCUGAAAAUUCCACUGAAAAUGUUGAUGUAGAACCAUUACCAACCACCUCAGCAGCCUCCCCUAUUCUUGAUAUUGAUAGGAAAAGAAAUUUGGAGACAAAAAUUCCACAUUACAGCGUGAAUGAAGGUUUUGUACAUUAUUGAUAAUCUGUAUGGGACACAGAAGGGUCAAACUCUGAAUCUUAAAAAACAUGAGCUGUUAGCAUGUCUGGUCAUAAACUUCCUUCUUGGAGGCACUAUUGGUCAACAAGUGAAGAUUUGGGAAUCCCAUUGAUAAGAAAACCAAUGAGCCGUGAUAGAUUUGACAGCAUACUAAUGCAUUUACAUGUCAAUGAUAAUUCACAAAUGACUGGAAAAAAACAGACAAGCUUUACAAAAUUAGGCCAUUGGUAACUGCAUUGAAUGACAAUUUUCCAAACAUUUACAAAGGGACAAGGGAACUUGGCAUUGAUGAAUCAAUGAUUUUAUUCAAGGGGAGGAGUAGCAUCAAACAAUAUAACCCCAUGAAAUCUAUAAAGAGGGGUUAUAAACUGUGGUGCAUUGCAGACCAAAGGGGGUACAUUCUAAAAUUUGAUAUAUAUCAGGGGAAAAAUGAGGCUCUGGAACAAGAAUUCAGGCUACGAAACCGUGGCAAUCAUUUUGUGAUUUUUGUAAAAAAACGUGGUCGAUGUGAAGUGUGCUCCAAGAAGAAGAUACAAUCAAGACCACAUUCAAAGUGCACUACAUGCAGUGUAUUUCUUUGCUGCCAUGAGAAGAAAAACUGUUUUGAAGAGUAUCAUGCUGUAUCUGUUGAGUAAUAUGUGACAGGCAAUGUGUUUGUAAAAAUUGGCAAAAUGUGAUUUUUAUAUUUGUGUAUAUUGUAUGUCUAACAUGGGUACUUGAUUUAAUUCUGUUGUUAUAUGUAGUACUGUUUUUAUAAAAGAUUUUCUGUAUUAUAAUUUUGUAGUGUUGUUAACACGGCAAAAAAUGUGUUAGAAUGAUCAAAUAUGUACUUUUGCAUGUGAUUGAAUUAGGACCCUACAACUUCCCUGAUGGUACUUGUAAGUACCAGGCAUUAAAACUACACAAAAAAUUGAAAUAAAAAUCUGAAAAAAUUGA